rnacentral:tRNA from 1 species
UCGCGCGGCGGUGGGGCGCGUGACCGGGUCACGCGCCCGGCCCCGCGUGGGGCGAGGUCACAUGGACGGUUCCGCGCGCCGCCCCGCGCGGU